AACUUCCCUGUUGUGUCUUAAUGCAUUACUGUUAAUUUAUGUACCGGUGAUCUGACCCUUACCUACAAAAUAAAAUGACCACAUAGGUUGUUUGUGCACGACCCGCAGUUACAACAUAAAAAACGUCAGCAUCGUGUGAUAUUACAUGGUGUGUAACCAUCACAACAAAUAACAAUGUGCCUUUGUUAAUAUGUGUAAACAUGGUCACUUUUAAUUUAUUUUUAUAAAAUCUUGCUUUUACAUCAUGGACUUGUCAGACGCUUUGCAUAAAGGAUUUACAAAGGACUUAAAAGGAUAGUUCACCCAAAUCUCUUGUUUAGUAAUUAGUAGAGUAAUUAUUUCAAUUAAACAAUGUCUAUUUACAAAUAUUUUUUAAUCAAUCACUUGCAAUAUGUAAUCCUACUCUCAUUCAUUUGCACCUAUAGUCUCAGCAAAGAUCAUCAUUGUGGUGGAACUCUAAUUGAUUCAAAGUGACUGCAGCUCAUUGCUUUAAAGUGUCUCAGAACCCGUACGUUUACAAGAUCUUCCUUGGAAUCCAUACAGAACAUGCCGAUGAAACCACUAAACAGGAACGAGAUGUUUCUAAGAUUAUUAUGGGACCAUCUGGAACUGACAUUGCUCUUUUCAUGUUAAAAAGGAACUGGUGGAGAGGGUUACUUGAAAGAAGCUGGUUUGCCAGUAAUUGAAAAUACAAUCUGCAACAGUUCACAAUUUUUGGAUGAUCGUGUAAAGGAGCAUGAGAUGUGUGCAGGAAACAUAGAAGGUGGAGCGGACAGUUGUCAGGUUAAAAAACAUGCACGGCAAGCCUGCAAGUCUCUUAAAUCCCACAAAUGAUAUUUUAUGCAAAUAUGCAUUUUGUUUCCACAC